UAAGGAAUAUUGGGCAAUGGACGCAAGUCUGACCCAGCCAUGCCGCGUGAAGGAUGACAGCCCUAUGGGUUGUAAACUUCUUUUGUACGGGAAAAAACCUUCGAACGUGUUCGAAGCUGAUGGUACCGUAAGAAUAAGCAUCGGCUAACUCCGUGCCAGCAGCCGCGGUAAUACGGAGGAUGCAAGCGUUAUCCGGAUUCAUUGGGUUUAAAGGGUGCGUAGGCGGGAUAAUAAGUCAGUGGUGAAAGCCUACAGCUUAACUGUAGAACUGCCAUUGAUACUGUUAACCUUGAGUACAAUUGAAGUGGGCGGAAUGUGUCAUGUAGCGGUGAAAUGCUUAGAUAUGACACAGAACACCGAUAGCGAAGGCAGCUCACUAAACUGUAACUGACGCUGAGGCACGAAAGCGUGGGGAUCAAACAGG
rnacentral:rRNA from 1 species